rnacentral:sRNA from 1 species
GUGAACUGGAACCUGCCGCUGUCGCCGCGGCGGGGCGCGGAGCGGGAGUGGGCCGCGGAGGCCGGCCUUCGGGCUCCAUGGACGGGCGCCGCGCCCCUGCACAGCCCGCCGCAGAGGUACGGCCGGGGCAGGGGUGCGGGGCCACCGCGGGCCCGCGGGGGGCCGCUCCACCUGCGGGGCGCGUGACCGUGAGUGUGCGCGACCGUGUGUAAGGCUGGCCUCUCUGCAGUCAGAGGUCUGAGCUCUGCCAUGGGGAUAGGGGUGUCUUUAUUGCUGCAGUUUUCUCUGACACCUGGGGGCCACCGGAGUGUGGGCCGAAGCAGGCGCUGCAGCCGCGGAAGUAUCCCCAGGAACAUCCCCAAGAGGAGCUGGAAAAAGCCUCAUCCCCAGCUCUGCAGUCUCCAGGGUAGAGUCUGGCCUUUGCUGUGCUCCCAAACCACGCCACAACUGGGGUGCACAGGCGUCCCCAUCCCGGCGGAAGGAAAUGGCCCUUUCUCAUAUCCUGGGGUCUUCCCUGUGCACAGUCUGACACUGGGAAGGAGUGACCUUUGUGUUCCCUGAGACGAGAGAGUGGGCUCUAGGGAAUUUAGAAGGAUGUGUCUGGAGCUUGUGAGCAGGCACAGAAGGGCCCUUAGGAGCCUAAUUGCUUCCUUCCUCCUUCCGCGGAGGAGG